CAAUAGCGUAUAUUAAUGUUGUUGCGGUUAAAAAGCUCGUAGUUGAAUUUUUGCUUGAGGCAUCUUUCCCAGCUUCGGCUGCGUGAAUAGUUUGCUUUGGGCACUUUCGUGGUACCGGCUGUAAUAGGUUGGAUUCUGCCACGGCUUUUACCUUGAAAAAAUUAGAGUGUUUCAAGCAGGUUUUAGCCUUGAAUACAUUAGCAUGGAAUAAUGAAAUAGGACUUCCGUUCUAUUUUGUUGGUUUGAGGAUGGAAGGUAUGAUUAAUAGGGAUAGUUGGGGGCAUUCGUAUUUGACUGUCAGAGGUGAAAUUCUUGGAUUUGUCAAAGACGAACUACUGCGAAAGCAUUUGCCAAAGAUGUUUUCAUUAA
rnacentral:rRNA from 1 species